GGGAGUGGAUGUGGCCCGGUGGUUGCCCCGGUCUUCAAAACCGGUGGCCGGUUGCGCCGAGCAAGCGGCGGUGGGUUCGACUCCCACCCAUUCCCG
rnacentral:tRNA from 1 species